rnacentral:tRNA from 2 species
GGGCCAUUAGCUCAGGUGGUAGAGCACCGGACUUUUAAUCCGGGUGUCCCGGGUUCGAGUCCCGGAUGGCUCACCA